rnacentral:rRNA from 1 species
GACGAACGCUGGCGGCGUGCUUAACACAUGCAAGUCGAACGGAAAGGCCCUGCUUUUGUGGGGUGCUCGAGUGGCGAACGGGUGAGUAACACGUGAGUAACCUGCCCUUGACUUUGGGAUAACUUCAGGAAACUGGGGCUAAUACCGGAUAUGAGCUCCUGGUGCGUGGUGUGGGUUGGAAAGUUUCGGCGGUUGGGGAUGUACUCGCGGCUUAUCAGCUUGUUGGUGGGGUAGUGGCUUGCGAAGGCGUUGACGGGUAGCCGGCCUGAGAGGGUGACCGGCGACACUGGGACGGAGAUACCGCCAAGACGCCGAGGGGAGGAAGGAGUGGGGAAUAGAGGACUAUGGGCGGAAGGCUGAGGCAGCAACGCCGCGUGCGGGAUGACGGCCUUCGGGUGGUAAAGCGCAUGCGCCUGGGAUGAAGCGUGAGUGACGGUAAUGGGAAAAGAAGCACCGGCUAACUACGUG